rnacentral:rRNA from 1 species
CGGUGGAUUAUGUGGUUUAAUUCGAUGCAACGCGAAAAACCUUACCUACCCUUGACAUGCUAGGAAGCUCGCAGAGAUGGGUUCCCGGCCUAAACAGGUGUGACGAGCGCAACCCUUGUCAUUAGUUGCUACGGGAUGUCAAGUCUCAUGGCCCUUAUGGGUAGGCUUCAUACAUGGCCGGUACAAGGGUUGCCAACCCGCGAGGGGGAGCCUCCCAGAAAGCCGGUCGUAGUCCGGAUUGUUCUGCAACUCGAGAGCAUGAAGUUGGAAUCGCUAGUAAUCGGGAUCAGCAUGUCGCGGUGAAUACGUUCCCGGGUCUUGUACACACCGCCGUCACACCAUGGGAGUGGGUUUCACCAGAAGUAGUUAGUCUAACCGCAAGGGGGACGAUUACCACGUGAGAUUCAUGACUGGGGUGAAGUCGUACAAGGU